ensembl:rRNA 5S_rRNA 5S ribosomal RNA
GUCUAUGACCAUACAACCUUGAGCGUGCCCUAUUCCAUCAAUCUUAGAAGCUAAGCAGGGUUGGGCCUGGUUAGUACUUGGAUGGGAGACCAUCUGAGAAUACUGGGUGCUAUAUGGA